GAGGUUCCCAGGCUGGGAGUCGAAUCAGAGCUAUAGCUGCCAGCCUACACCACAGCCGCAGACUCAGCCACGUCGGAUCCUUAACCCUCUGAGUGAGGCCAGGGAUUGAACUCACAGCCUCAAGGUUCCUAGUCGGACUCGUUACCACUGCGCCACGACGGGAACUCCUCGGACACCUUUCAAUUCCGUUUUUCACACAGCCAUCCUCUUUCUCCUUGCUUACGAAGUUUUAGGAGCGUCUUAUGACACUCACGUUAAUGAACCCCGACUCUAUGUGGCCUCUCCUAGGCCAGCCUGCACUUAUGUUCAGAUUGUGCACCGCCUCUCAGGGGAAUGGAAAUUACCCAGUGUGUUCUCCCCUGGCGACCAAAGGACUCCUCUCCAAAGUGCGAGUCUGAUCAUGUCAUCCCCAAACCGAAAGGCAAAACCAAACGCUCAAGGCCUCUGAUUGUCCCGGGGUCGAGCUAAACUGCUUCCUAGGCCUUUCUGGGAUGUGGAUCUGGCUCUCCUUCCCGGCCACAGCACCUCGUUCUUGGGAAUUCCUAUCUGUUUAUACUUGAAGGGCCGACGCCACGUCCUCUGUGAAGGGCACCGCCCCCCACUACCACCCAGUCGAUCCUCGCACCUCGGUUCCCGUCCACAGAGCUCCGCCACCGCUCCUGUAAAACGCCCCGUGCUCCGGCCUUGGUCUUCCUCGCUUCCCUGGCAGGCUUCACGGGGGCGGGCCCGCCUCCACACGCCCCGGUGCGGCCGGCAGCAAGCCCGUGCUUAGCGCAGAGGAUGCCAUGAGCUGAUGGACAGAUGUGUGGAGGCCGCGGCAGAGGUCGGCCCUCGACGAGGGCAGUCGCAGGAUAAAGUCACAAAAGCUUCUCUUGUCCUUUGAGGACUCUGGCGAUGAAAGGUUGAAGCAAGUACCCAAACCGCCACUGCUGAGCCAUGUUUAUUCUCCCCGUGGCACGCGUCGCACCUAGCGAGUAGCUUAUUUGUCUGGUCGCUCGUGGUGAACUCCUCCCACAUCCCGCUGCGGAUUUCCCAAGGGCAGGCGCCUGACCGUCCCGUUCAACGGGUGCCCGUACCACCAGCACCUGUGAAGCAUCUUCCUUCAGUGAAAAUCCUUCCAACCAAAUGGUGACAGAGUCCUGAAGAGCUUACUGUGGUAAAUUUCAGGCAGGACUAUGGAGUGGCAGACACAACAUUAACCUGGGUUGGAAUUCCCACAGUGGCGCAGUGGAAACGAAUCCAGGAGGUUGCAGGUUUGACCCCUGGCCUCGCUCAGCGGGCUAAGGAUCUGGCAUUCCUUUCUGCUGCGCACGCCGGGAGCUCCCUAGUAUCAUUUGAAUUAAAAGGACUCUGUGUAGGUUAAUUUCUUAGCCCGUGGGAGAGGUGUGGCUCAUUGUCAGCAGCUUCGUUGUCUCAGCCUCUGGCGUCCGGAUUCCCAACUCUGUUUCUCACUUGUUCUCUCAGCUUCCCUUUGCCCAAGUGGCUGUGGCGGUUCCCAAAUGCCCGAGCAAAGACAAGCCUAGAUCAUUCAGCUACAUCGUUGACUACAAGCUACAUCUCCAACUUGGCUGCAUGGUGGACUUCAGCGCGAGUGUGGGUGUGUGUGUGGGUGUGUGUGGGUGUGUGUGUGGGUGGGUGGGUGUGGGUGUGUGUGUGGGUGUGUGUGUGUGUGCACUUCCCCCACCCCGCCCCGGCAUGGUCCUCACGGCCCACACCCAGGCUGCUCGUGCGCCUCUGCCCAAGGCCUCACCCUGUCCUCUGCGCAGCCGGCCUUGCCCUUCCAGACCUACCUGGAGUCCUCCUCCUUCCGGGCUUUCUUGAGGACGCCGGCGCCUGUCGGCCCUUCUCCCCUUCGCUCCGCGGCACUUUGGUCUCCCCCACUCAGCGAAGCACGUCGCUGUUUCGUCAGGGUUCUGGGCCCUUUGGUGAGACCGUAAGCUCCACGGAAGCAGGGACCCGUCCACCUUGGCAAGCGCCGUGGUGCCCAGCGCCGUGCCCAGCGUCACGAAACAUCCGCCAGACGUCAAAGCCACCUGAUGCUUCAAGCUGUGUGAAGCACUGAUUUACGGGCACAUGACGGGAGGUGGGGUGGGCCGUCCUCUGUCCAAGGGGAGUUGCAGAAUUCUUCCAUCAGCUCUUCCUCAGAUGUCGCCCGGGCCCAGGUUACGAUCUGCUCUUCGACGGUGGAAGCUAAUAGCUGCUUACACCGGUUUCUUGCCACACAAAGCCAGUGCGGGGGGCUCUCCAUCUCCACACCCAACAUCUUGACAUGAAAGGCUUUGUCCAAGGGCUCUGCCUAUUGAAUAGGCAGUAAGUGCCUACACUUGCUCAAGAAAAUAAGCGCGCCCACAUUCCUGACUCAUUUAACGUGUCACGCGAAUUACAGCCCAAGCCGAUGGACGUCGCGUCCAAAAGCGGGCUUCUGCAGGCGGGGUUACCUCCGGCGAAACGCUGCGCCUGUCGGAUGAUGGGGGUCUUGACACUUUUUUAAACUAAAAGAGGUAGAAACCCUCCCUCUGUGGUCUGCUGUCCUCACCAGGCCCUCGGUGGCCCCCCGCUUCCCUCCUGUCCUACGUGAGGGUUCAGUUUUGUCCCUUUUGACCAAUCCACUCUGGAAAGUAACCUUCUGGGACCAAGGACCUUCUCGACUGCGCUGCCGUGAGGAUGCCACUCCAGACAGAGUGUGCCAGAAAGGCGCUCUGUGUCAUGACCGCCCGUCCUGUUCGGAACUUUACCUCGAGGCAGGGACCUGCCUUACCACUAAAAUAUCUUGGGGUUCGGUGUUCCAGAACGCCCAGCCCCAUCACGGAUAAAACUCAAGGAGUCUUCUUUGCUCUGUUCCUAAGAAGGGCUCUUUCAUUUAAAAGGAAGGAAGGAGCUCCCCCUGUGGCUCAGCAGGUUAAGAACCCAACUAGGAUCCAUGAGGACGCGGGAUCGAUCCCUGGCCUCGCUCAGUGGGUUAAGGAUACGGCGUUGCCAUGAGCUGUGGCGUAGGUCGCAGACACAGCUCUGAUCCGAUUCAACUUGACCCUCAGCUCAGGAACUUCCAUAUGCUGCAGGUGUGGCCCUAAACAGAAAAGCAAAAUUUAAGGGAAGGAAGCUAAGACUUAUUGACUGCCUAUUCAUGCCCAGCACUGCUUCUUUUCUUAUUAUUUCAUCCUUCCAGCCAAUCAUAACAUCGAACGAUGGUGGUCUCCCAACUUGCAGGCGCAGCGCUACUGGACGGUGGUCAUCUUCGAGGUGGGGUGCGGUAGCAGAUUCCGGCCACCGGAGGGCAGGCGUGGGCUACACAAGGGGGCCCGUCCAGCCCAGGGCCGAACCUUCAGGAGACCUGCUCCUUACUUCUUACGGUGGAGCCUGAGAAAGAUGACGCUGAGCAAAGGGGGCGAGAGACCUGAGACAAGGGAUCCUGCGACGCGGGACUUGCUUCAACUACAGGCUUGGAAAUGCCUGUGCCUUGGGAGCUCCCUGCUGGUCCAGGGGUUAGGGCUUGGUGCCUUCACGGCUGCAGCCUGGCUUCGAUCCCCGGUCUGGAGCUGAUCCCACAUCGAGCCGCUGCAGCCGCAGCAACAAAACAGAACAAAAACACUGCGCCUCAAACUACCCGCCCCACGCCAUAGCACACCUAUCCGCUCGCCCUUUGAUAACCCUGAGCCAUGUGAUUGCCCCGGGGCACAUAACCGCCUCACUGCGCAAGCGCCAGUGUUAGCGAGCAGCCGCCCCCCCUCCCCCCAGACAUACCCAUGCGCUGGGUAACCACUGAGAUACUGGGGAUCUAGUAUUACCAGUAGUAAUUAUUACCUUUUUGGCCAACCCCAUGGCAUAUGGAAAUUCCUGGUCCAAGGAUCAAAUCUGAGCUGAAGCGGUGACCCACACCACAGCUGCAGCAAGAGAUCCUUAACCCGCCACCCUGGCUGGGGACUGAACUGACGCCUCCACAGAGACAAGCUGGAUCUUUAACCCACUGCAGCACAGCCACAGCGGGAACUCCUGCGAAAAAUUUAAACAACCCCGUUUUGCAAGUUUAUUGUGCAAAACACUCCUAAGUAAUCAUGAUACAAAGUAUAUUCAGGAAGUUCCUGGUGUGGCUCAGUGGAAACAAGCCCGACCAGCGUCCGUGAGGCUGCGGGUUCGAGCCCUGACCUCGCUCGGUGGGUUAAGGAUCCGGCGUUGCCGUGAGCUGCGGUGUAGGUCGCAGAUGUGGCUCGGAU
rnacentral:lncRNA from 1 species